rnacentral:rRNA from 1 species
ACAAUGAAGAGUUUGAUCCUGGCUCAGGAUGAACGCUAGCUACAGGCUUAACACAUGCAAGUCGAGGGGCAGCAUUUUAGUUUGCUUGCAAACUAAAGAUGGCGACCGGCGCACGGGUGAGUAACACGUAUCCAACCUGCCGAUAACUCGGGGAUAGCCUUUCGAAAGAAAGAUUAAUAUCCGAUAGUAUAUUAAAACCGCAUGGUUUUACUAUUAAAGAAUUUCGGUUAUCGAUGGGGAUGCGUUCCAUUAGUUUGUUGGCGGGGUAACGGCCCACCAAGACUACGAUGGAUAGGGGUUCUGAGAGGAAGGUCCCCCCACAUUGGAACUGAGACACGGUCCAAACUCCUACGGGAGGCAGCAGUGAGGAAUAUUGGUCAAUGGACGAGAGUCUGAACCAGCCAAGUAGCGUGAAGGAUGACUGCCCUAUGGGUUGUAAACUUCUUUUAUAUGGGAAUAAAGUAUUCCACGUGUGGGAUUUUGUAUGUACCAUAUGAAUAAGGAUCGGCUAACUCCGUGCCAGCAGCCGCGGUAAUACGGAGGAUCCGAGCGUUAUCCGGAUUUAUUGGGUUUAAAGGGAGCGUAGGUGGAUUGUUAAGUCAGUUGUGAAAGUUUGCGGCUCAACCGUAAAAUUGCAGUUGAAACUGGCAGUCUUGAGUACAGUAGAGGUGGGCGGAAUUCGUGGUGUAGCGGUGAAAUGCUUAGAUAUCACGAAGAACUCCGAUUGCGAAGGCAGCUCACUAGACUGCAACUGACACUGAUGCUCGAAAGUGUGGGUAUCAAACAGGAUUAGAUACCCUGGUAGUCCACACAGUAAACGAUGAAUACUCGCUGUUUGCGAUAUACAGUAAGCGGCCAAGCGAAAGCAUUAAGUAUUCCACCUGGGGAGUACGCCGGCAACGGUGAAACUCAAAGGAAUUGACGGGGGCCCGCACAAGCGGAGGAACAUGUGGUUUAAUUCGAUGAUACGCGAGGAACCUUACCCGGGCUUAAAUUGCAUUUGAAUAAUCUGGAAACAGGUUAGCCGCAAGGCAAAUGUGAAGGUGCUGCAUGGUUGUCGUCAGCUCGUGCCGUGAGGUGUCGGCUUAAGUGCCAUAACGAGCGCAACCCUUAUCUUUAGUUACUAACAGGUCAUGCUGAGGACUCUAGAGAGACUGCCGUCGUAAGAUGUGAGGAAGGUGGGGAUGACGUCAAAUCAGCACGGCCCUUACGUCCGGGGCUACACACGUGUUACAAUGGGGGGUACAGAAGGCAGCUACCUGGCGACAGGAUGCUAAUCCCAAAAACCUCUCUCAGUUCGGAUCGAAGUCUGCAACCCGACUUCGUGAAGCUGGAUUCGCUAGUAAUCGCGCAUCAGCCAUGGCGCGGUGAAUACGUUCCCGGGCCUUGUACACACCGCCCGUCAAGCCAUGAAAGCCGGGGGUACCUGAAGUACGUAACCGCAAGGAGCGUCCUAGGGUAAAACUGGUAAUUGGGGCUAAGUCGUAACAAGGUAGCCGUACCGGAAGGUGCGGCUGGAACACCUCCUUU